rnacentral:rRNA from 1 species
CCCUUAGAUGUUCUGGGCCGCACGCGUGCUACACUGAGUGGAUCAGCGGGUCAGGUUGCGCGAAAGUGUUUCCUAAUCUUGAAAUCCGCUCGUGAUGGGGAUUGACGGUUGCAAUUUUCCGUCAUGAACGAGGAAUACCUUGUAAGCGCGGGUCAUCAUCCCGCGCUGAAUACGUCCCUGCCCUUUGUACACACCGCCCGUCGCUCCUACCGAUUGAGUGCUCAGGUGAAUAAUUCGGACUGCAGCAAUGUUUGGAUCCCGAACGUUGCAGCGGAAAGUUUAGUGAACCUUAUCACUUAGAGGAAGGAGAAGUCGUAACA